GUGUAAGGGAACUUGUUUCAGCAAGGGAGAACUUGUUUCAGAAAGUCUUGUUUCAGCCAAGGUAGAACUUGGUCUUCAGAGACAGAGACCACUGAAAUCAAAGAGAACUCAAGCACGAAAUGGAGAUGGCUUCAAGGAACACCCGAUCAUGAACCACGCCUAGCUGACGCACCCAUUUCAAGGCCCCUCCUGUUGUCGGCAACAGAUAGUUGUUCAGCUUUGAAGUUCCGGCGCCGAGAUUCACAAGUAUUUAAAACCCAUAUUGAUUUCUUUUUUAUAAAUAUUAAAGUCAUAAUUUUUUUUAUUGAUUAUAUGUUCUGGUUUUGUUCUAGGAACACCUGAAAUUUGUAUGUGUAAUUUUUGUAAGAGGAUUUUUUUUUAAUGAGAAUUUUUGUAAGAAGUUGUUUGGUGGUA